UACGUAGGGUGCAAGCGUUAAUCGGAAUUACUGGGCGUAAAGCGUGCGCAGGCGGUUUUGUAAGUUUUGUCGUGAAAGCCCCGGGCUCAACCUGGGAAUUGCGAUGAAGACUGCAAGGCUUGAAUCUGGCAGAGGGGGGUAGAAUUCCACGUGUAGCAGUGAAAUGCGUAGAGAUGUGGAGGAACACCGAUGGCGAAGGCAGCCCCCUGGGCCAAUACUGACGCUCAUGCACGAAAGCGUGGGGAGCAAACAGG
rnacentral:rRNA from 1 species